GGUUAAGCGACUAAGCGUACACGGUGGAUGCCCUGGCAGUCAGAGGCGAUGAAGGGCGUGCUAAUCUGCGAUAAGCGCCGGUAAGGUGAUAUGAACCGUUAUAACCGGCGAUACCCGAAUGGGGAAACCCAGUGUGACUCGUCACACUAUCAUUAACUGAAUCCAUAGGUUAAUGAGGCGAACCGGGGGAACUGAAACAUCUAAGUACCCCGAGGAAAAGAAAUCAACCGAGAUUCCCCCAGUAGCGGCGAGCGAACGGGGAGGAGCCCAGAGCCUGAAUCAGCAUGUGUGUUAGUGGAAGCGUCUGGAAAGUCGCGCGAUACAGGGUGACAGCCCCGUACACAAAAGCGCAUGUGCUGUGAGCUCGAUGAGUAGGGCGGGACACGUGGUAUCCUGUCUGAAUAUGGGGGGACCAUCCUCCAAGGCUAAAUACUCCUGACUGACCGAUAGUGAACCAGUACCGUGAGGGAAAGGCGAAAAGAACCCCGGCGAGGGGAGUGAAAAAGAACCUGAAACCGUGUACGUACAAGCAGUGGGAGCCCCACCACCAAAGCAUUCUCUGGUGUUGAAGGCCCUGCAAAGCAGCAUCGCGGUGGCGGAGCGUCGUUUGCGACGCCCAACACACAAAACAAGCGAUGAGUGCUUUGGGGUGG
rnacentral:rRNA from 1 species